rnacentral:lncRNA from 1 species
UGAAGAACAAUUUCAAGUGUAUUGUUUUUUUUUUUUUUUAAGAGAUAAAUAGGAUGCUAUUCACUUAAUUCAUUUUAUUUAUAAAUAAAUUUAGUUGGAAAUGUGAAUGAACUAAAAUUCGAAUUUGGAACCUCGGAUACCAACCAUUAAAAAAUAUAUAUAUUUAUUAUAAUAAAAUUAUUGAACUUUUUUUUUUAUUGAACUAUUUUAAUUGAAACAUUAUAUCAAAUCUCAUAUAUUUUAACUAAC